rnacentral:rRNA from 1 species
CAGCCGCCGCGGUAAUACCGGCGGCCCGAGUGGCGGUCACUAUUAUUGGGCUUAAAGCGUCCGUAGCCGGGGUGGGAAGUCCUCCGGGAAAUCUGGCCGCUUAACGGUCAGAAUGCCGGAGGAUACUCCCAGCCUAGGGGGCGGGAGAGGCCGAGGGGAUUCCCGGAGUAGGGGUGAAAUCCUAUAAUCCCGGGAGGACCACCUGUGGCGAAGGCGCUCGGCUGGAACGCGUCCGACGGUGAGGGACGAAGGCCAGGGGAGCAAACCGGAUUAGAUACCCGGGUAGUCCUGGCUGUAAACGAUGCGGACUUUGUGUCGGACAAGCUAUGAGCUUGUCCGGUGCCGGAGGGAAACCGUUAAGUCCGCCGCCUGGGGAGUACGGCCGCAAGGCUGAAACUUAAAGGAAUUGGCGGG